CCCAUACUCAGCCCACUUGGCCAGAGACACUUCAGUUAGAAAUGUGUUCUCCUGCUGUGUCCCCUCUUAACGGGGCUCUUGUUUCCGGAAAGCCUGGAGUGAGAGCCUUUUCGGAAGCUGCAGACAUUUGUUCAACCCUUGCUCGACCCAGACACCUCUGGCCAUUUGCCAGAGGUCCCCGAAGGGUGAAACUGUGUCCACAGUGAACAGGAAAGAGACCCGCAUCAGGGAGACAGGCCGAAAAAGCAGGUGGAGCGCCUGGUUACCGCCUUGCUGGGCACUGACCCCUCCUAUGUGCCCACCUUCCUGGGCACCUGCAGAGCUUUGCCACCACCCAACAUUGCUGGACCUGCUGUUCAAAGGUCCAUAUCCCCAUCUACAUCCGUCAGCAAAAGGGGAAAGAGCAGGAAGAAAUGCCUGUGGGAAGAUUUCAUGGCCAUGUCUGGAAAGGCACACAGCACUUUCACUUCUUCUAUUGGCAAGAACUGGUCACAUGGCCAUACCUAAUGCAAAGGAAGCUGGGAAAUGUAGUUCACUGUUGUCCAAAGAAGAGGAGAAUGGAUUUUGAUGAACUGAAGCUCUCUGCAACAGAGAGUAAUUCAUUUGGAUUUAUUGUGUUUCUCAAAUCCUUAUUGAGUAUCUGCCGUAGGCCAAUCACAGUACUAAGGGCUUGAAGAGGGACACAGAAUUGAUUCAGCAGAGUCCUGGCCUGGGGGAAGUUACAAGUCUAAAGAAGGAGAAAGGACAUGGUAUUAAGUGCCUGCCAUUCUAAGAGAGAAAAGGAUAAAGUAGAAAGUGCUCUGAAAGUUCAGUGAAUUAUCUUAGAAUGGGAAGAUGCUUGGAGAUGACACCAACUGAUCUUCAUUUUCAGAGAUAAGAUAUUGUUGGUGGAAGAAAAUGGCAACAAGAACUAUAUAAGCAGCGAAAACCGAGGAGCCCUGGAGCACUCAUACAAUUUCCCGUGAGUCCACCAGUGAGCAGUGUGUGAUUGCUUACGACACCGACGCUGAUCCACUGCAAAAAUUUACUUUACAGGCUAGCCUUCUUCAGAACAUGUCUUUUAACUUAAGAAAAAUUCUUUAAGGAGUGUUUAUUUGCUUUUAUUCUUCCACUUCUUUGGAAUAUAAUGAAAAUUCUCUACAAGUGACAAGUAUAAGGUAAUCCACUAACUGGAAGAUGUCCCUCUUUAUGUAUUCAGAUAUGUAAUAUUAUGAGUUCCUGACUGAAUUUGGAUCUUUGCCUAAUACCAUAUAAAAAAUUAACCCAAAAUGGAUUAAAGACCUCAACUUAAGAGCUAAAACUACAAAAAUGUUGAGGAAAACUUAGGGGCAAGUCUUCACGACCUUGGAUUUGGCAUUGGUUUCUUAAAAAUGACACCAAAAAGAAUAAAAGAAAGACAGA
rnacentral:lncRNA from 1 species